rnacentral:rRNA from 1 species
ACUCCUACGGGAGGCAGCAGUGGGGAAUAUUGGACAAUGGGGGCAACCCUGAUCCAGCCAUGCCGCGUGAGUGAUGAAGGCCUUCGGGUUGUAAAGCUCUUUUGGCGGGGACGAUGAUGACGGUACCCGCAGAAUAAGCCCCGGCUAACUUCGUGCCAGCAGCCGCGGUAAU